rnacentral:rRNA from 1 species
GUGGCGCACGGCUGAGUAACACGUGGGAACCCGCCCCCCGGUGGGGGAUAACGCGACGAAAGUUGCGCUAAUCCCGCAUACGUCCCCAGGGAGAAAGCGCAGUGCGCGCCGGGGGAGGGGCCUGCGGCAUCAGGUCGUUGGUGGGGUAAGGGCCUACCAAGCCGAUGACGGGUAGCUGGUCUGGGAGGAUGACCAGCCAGACUGGGACUGAGACGCGGCCCAGACUCCUACGGGAGGCAGCAGCAAGGAAUUUUCGGCAAUGGGCGCAAGCUGACCGAGCAACGCCGCGUGCGGAUGACGGCCUUCGGGUUGUAAACCGCUUUUGGGGGGACGAUGAUGACGUACCCCCGAACAAGCCCCGGCUAACUCUGUGCCAGCAGCCCGGUAAGACAGAGGGGCGACCGUUGUCCGGAGUCACUGGGCGUAAAGCGCGCGCAGCGUCGCCAAAGUGUCGUGUGAAAGCCCCCGGCUCAACCGGGGGAGGCCAUGGCAAACUCGGCGACUGGAGCGCGGAGAGGCCCCUCGAAUUGCCGUUGUAGUGGUGAAAUGCGUAGAGAUCGGCAGGAAGACCAAGGGGGAAGCCAGGGGGCUGGCCGCUUGCUGACGCUGAGGCGCGACAGCGUGGGGAGCGAACCGGAUUAGAUACCCGGGUAGUCCACGCCGUAAACGAUGACCACUCGGCGUGCGGCGACUAUUGACGUCGCGGUGCGCCUUAGCUCACGCGCUAAGUGGUCCGCCUGGGAACUACGAGCGCAAGCUUAAAACUCAAAGGAAUUGACGGGGGCCCGCACAAGCAGCGGAGCGUGUGGUUUAAUUCGAGGCAACCCGAAGAACCUUACCCAGGCUUGACAUGACGGUGCACACGGCGGAAACGCCGUCGCCUCCGAGGGCCCGU